rnacentral:rRNA from 1 species
AGAACGAACGCUGGCGGCAUGCCUAAUACACGCAAGUCGAACGAACUCUUCGGAGUUAGUGGCGCACGGGUGCGUAACGCGUGGGAAUCUGCCCUUGGGUUCGGAAUAACAGUUGGAAACGACUGCUAAUACCGGAUGAUGACGAAAGUCCAAAGAUUUAUCGCCCAGGGAUGAGCCCGCGUAGGAUUAGCUAGUUGGUGAGGUAAAGGCUCACCAAGGCGACGAUCCUUAGCUGGUCUGAGAGGAUGAUCAGCCACACUGGGACUGAGACACGGCCCAGACUCCUACGGGAGGCAGCAGUAGGGAAUAUUGGACAAUGGGCGAAAGCCUGAUCCAGCAAUGCCGCGUGAGUGAUGAAGGCCUUAGGUUGUAAAGCUCUUUUACCCGAGAUGAUAAUGACAGUAUCGGAGAAUAAGCCCCGGCUAACUCCGCGCCAGCAGCCGC